rnacentral:tRNA from 1 species
GACUGGAUAGCCUAGUGGUAAAGGCAACACUCUAGCAUACUGAGGUCCCAGGUUCAAAUCCUGGUCCACUUU